rnacentral:rRNA from 1 species
GACGUCCUACGGGGGGCAGCAGUGAGGAAUAUUGGUCAAUGGUCGGGAGACUGAACCAGCCAAGCCGCGUGAGGGAUGAAGGUACAGAGUAUCGUAAACUUCUUUUGUCAGGGAACAAAGGCGGGGACGUGUCCCCGGAUGAGUGUACCUGAAGAAAAAGCAUCGGCUAACUCCGUGCCAGCAGCCGCGGUAAUACGGAGGAUGCGAGCGUUAUCCGGAUUUAUUGGGUUUAAAGGGUGCGUAGGCGGACUGUUAAGUCAGCGGGAAAAGCCCGGGGCUCAACCCCGGCGAGCCGU